rnacentral:ribozyme from 13 species
UGAAAAAAGAAGCAGAAGGAGAAAAAAAAAGAAGAGAGAAAAAGAAAGGAUGAUAAUGAAGAAUAUGUCAGAAAACACAAACAACUCGAUAAUUUAUCUAUUGAAGACAUCAUCGACCCUUCUCUCUCCUCUUUCCUCUCUCUUUCUC